AUGACAGAACCAAAUGCUUGGAAAUGGAAGUGUUCUUUGGAACCUGGAAAAAAAAAUAGCAAAAGAGGUGUAAGGCUCAAGGACUGAAAAGCCAUUUGCUAAGGAGCUGAAGGUCCCACCCUGAGGAAUGCUUUCUUGACCAGUUGGGAAAGACUUUGGGAUCAAGGAACGGUUGGGAUCUUCCGAUUCUCGCCAAUGAAUUGCGCAAGAGAUAAGCUUACUUUUACACAUGAAAGCUACUGAUCUGAAUAGACUUUUAGUACUUAUUGUCUUUGAGAUUAGAGAAAACCCUGCAAGAAGCCACCAAUCCACUUUGAGCUAUAUUCUCGAUGGCAAGAAAAACAGGACUAUGCAUGUGACGUGCUGCUAAAGAGUCAUGAACAGGAGGAGUCAUUGGGAUGAAGCAUGUACUUCUUCUGUUUACUCUCCUACCUUUUAUUUUAAAGGUCAUUCUGUAUAAAGGUUAUUGGUGGGCAGAGAAUAGAAUGGGGGAAAGCAGGAGAAAUAGG